AGGACGAACGCUGGCGGCGUGCCUAACACAUGCAAGUCGAACGGGACCAGGGGCAACUCUGGUUCAGUGGCGGACGGGUGCGUAACACGUGAGGAACAUGACUUUCGGCGGGGGAUAGCCGGCCCAACGGCCGGGUAAUACCGCGUACGACCUCUCGGGGACAUCCCCGGUUGGUGAAAGCAGCAAUGCACCGAAAGAGUGCCUCGCGGCCUAUCAGCUAGUUGGUGAGGUAACGGCUCACCAAGGCGACGACGGGUAGCUGGUCUGAGAGGAUGGCCAGCCACAUUGGGACUGAGACACGGCCCAGACUCCUACGGGAGGCAGCAGUGGGGAAUAUUGGACAAUGGGCGAAAGCCUGAUCCAGCAACGCCGCGUGAGGGAUGACGGCCUUCGGGUUGUAAACCUCUUUCAGCAGGGACGAAGCGCAAGUGACGGUACCUGCAGAAGAAGCACCGGCCAACUACGUGCCAGCAGCCGC
rnacentral:rRNA from 1 species